rnacentral:pre_miRNA from 1 species
UAACUACUCCCUCCGAUCCUAAAUUGUUGUCGAAAUAUUACAUGUAUCUAGACGCUUUUUAAGAAUAGAUACAUCCAUAUUUGAGCAAAUUUAAGUCAAGAAUUUAGGAUCAGAGGGAGUAUUAA